rnacentral:rRNA from 1 species
GAUGAACGCUGGCGGCGUGCUUAACACAUGCAAGUCGAACGGAAAGGCUCCUGCUUGCAGGGGUACUCGAGUGGCGAACGGGUGAGUAACACGUGGGUGAUCUGCCCUGCACUUCGGGAUAAGCCCGGGAAACUGGGUCUAAUACCGGAUAGGACCACCUUCUGGAUGGUGUGGUGGGAAGUUUUUCGGUGUGGGAUGAGCUCGCGGCCUAUCAGCUUGUUGGUGGGGUAAUGGCCUACCAAGGCGUCGACGGGUAGCCGGCCUGAGAGGGUGAACGGCCACAUUGGGACUGAGAUACGGCCCAGACUCCUACGGGAGGCAGCAGUGGGGAAUAUUGCACAAUGGGCGCAAGCCUGAUGCAGCGACGCCGCGUGGGGGAUGACGGCCUUCGGGUUGUAAACUGCUUUCGCUAGGGACGAAGCGCAAGUGACGGUACCUGGAGAAGAAGCACCGGCUAACUACGUG